rfam:Bacillus sp. FJAT-22058 super1, whole genome shotgun sequence.
UUCGGUACUAAGGAUACUAAAAGUACUACUUUUCGUUUUCGAUGAUGACUUAGAGCAAGGAUAGUAAUACAUUGUGCUUAGAUGCACUAGGAGGCAACAACAAUGGAACAAGGUAAAGUAAAAUGGUUUAACGCAGAAAAAGGUUUUGGAUUCAUCGAACGCGAAAACGGAGACGACGUAUUCGUACAUUUCUCAGCUAUCCAAAGCGAAGGUUUCAAAUCUUUAGACGAAGGCCAAGAAGUUACUUUUGAAGUAGAACAAGGUCAACGCGGACCUCAAGCUUCUAACGUUCAAAAAGCAUAAUUUCAAUAACAAAAAAGACGGAUCCUUUUUAAAGGGUCCGUCUUUU